rnacentral:lncRNA from 1 species
UCUCAAUUAUGUUUUUAUGUUUACGUUUUUUGGAGAUACACAUUUGAAGAAUAUUCUCCAAUAUUCUCUAAUCUAAAUAUCCUCGUACAUCUCAUAGAUAGGAGCAAAUAUUCAUAUAUAAUGAAUAUUUAUAUAAUCUUUUAUAUCUUUAAAAAAAUAUCUUAAAAAGAUGGCGUAGAUGCUAAGAAACCAGUUAACUGAAAUAUCAUUGUUUCGACUAACUCUUGAUGGAUGUUUAGUCACUGAAAGUAUACAAGUUCCAUCCCCCGAUUAAUUUUGAAAAGACUUAAUGGGCCCUAGGAAACGCAUUACAACUACUCAUUUGGAAUCUCAAGUAGACAAUUUAUUGCAAAUCUAUGACCUAUCCACUAAGAAAAAAUUCAAAUGGAGUUUUAUAAGAAAGAAGAAUUCACUGCAAUUAUGAUAAGAAUACAUCCUGAUCAAAGAAUAUUUAAUGCAAGUGUAUCUUACAUUAAAAAUGGGAUGAAUAAUGACUCAUAAAUUUGCUCCAAAGACAACAAAACCGAAAAGCUAGUUUUUACUUAUGGUACAUUGCUAUAAAAUUUCAUAACCAAUUUACACUCAAAAAUAUUAAAUGUAGAUCCAAUUAAUCAAAUUAUCAAAAAAGUCAAUAGGCUGACAAAGCUUAAAACAUCGCCAGAAUGCUGAAAACGUAAGAAAACUACAUAAUCCCAUAGUCCCAAGAUUAUUCGGCUAUAUUAAAUCAUAAAAAUCCUAUUACCGUCAACAUUCAUCCCCACAUUAUCUUGAAAAACAACUAUUGAAACAUGGGCAGUGAGUUCAUCAAAUCAUAUGGAUAUACAUAUACUGUUGACUCAUCGGUAAUAUUUAUAGACAAGAUCCUAAAAUUACGCCCUUUACCAAAUGAAUCUUUUACAAUACUAGAAUAUAAGGCAUUAUAUCCUUCAAUAAAGCUAGCACCAGUAUGCCUCUUCUUAUAGAGUUUAUAUUGAAAUAACUAUCGGCGCAACAGGCCUAUCCAAACUAUUAGAAUAAUUUGUUACUUCAUCACAUAGGAUUCUUUCUUUACCAUUCGUUCCAAAUAUUAUAAACAACAAAUAGGCAUAUCCAUAGGUGGCCCUAUAGUAAUUGGAAACUUUAUCCAAGAUAUUAUACUGUAUUCCCGCUAUAUCGAUGAUAUAUGCAUCAUACGGAAACAAAACCAAAGAGCCCAUGAUAUAAAAAAUAGCAUUAAUUAAUCAAAUAUUGGGGCUAAAAUUAAAAGUAGAACAGUACAACAGCCAAAGUUUCCACUAUCUUGAUGUACAAGUCAUUAUAUUUUAUGAUGAAUACUGGACCCUAUUUAUAAAAAAUCUACUUAUUUGCCUAUAAUAAUACUAUAUUGAUCAUCAAACCCGAUGACAUGUAAAUUGGUAAUAUUUACAACUCUAUUUGAUGGACUUUUUAUGCAUUCUGUCCCAAAAUGAUAAAAAUAAAGUAUUCAAUGUUAUAAUAAUACAAGAAUAUAAACAUAGUUAUAAUUAUAAAACAACGAAAGGAAUCUUUGAUAAAAUAUUGAAAUCUAGCAAUGAACAAAGUCGUAUAUAGCACCAAGCAACGCAUUUAAAUUCUCAAAAAGAUCAACAAUACUAUAUGAUAAAUUAUGACCAGACCACAAACAAUGUAAUACAAGGUAAAACUAGAACACAUCAACAGCAAAAAAUCAUAUACAAAAGAAAUCCAACUAUAUUUUCUUCAUUACGGAAUGAUAAGGACUCAAUUAAAGAAAUGCAAAAUUAGAUAUUUGCACCAUACCAGUUUAUUAUCAUAUACAUUAAAGGCACGAACGCUUCGUAGAAGAAACAGAGGAAAUCUCUCUAUUAGGAUGAAUGAAUAUAAAGGUAGUAUAAGAACUGAAAACCUUCAAACAGCGCUAGCAAUCAAAGCAUACGCAGAGGACAUCUCCGUAAAUUGGAACCAAGCAUAUAUACCAAAAUCCUUAAAACUCCAUUUGAAGCAUUCGUCAUGAAGCUAUCGAAGUUGAACGAUACAAACAAAAAACAACGGUUAUUAAUAAUAAUCAACCCAAAUAUUUACCAAUGUCUUGGCGAUGGUGUGCUGUAAACGAUUUGUAGAAGGUCUGGACUAUUAUUUACUUAAG